rnacentral:rRNA from 1 species
UACGAAGGGGGCUAGCGUUGCUCGGAAUGACUGGGCGUAAAGGGCGCGUAGGCGGCCUUGUUUGUCAGGCGUGAAAGUCCUGGGCUCAACCUGGGGAUUGCGUUUGGGACGGCGAGGCUUGAGUGGGGAAGAGGGUCGUGGAAUUCCCAGUGUAGAGGUGAAAUUCGUAGAUAUUGGGAAGAACACCGGUGGCGAAGGCGGCGACCUGGUCCUUGACUGACGCUGAGGCGCGAGAGCGUGGGGAGCAAACAGG